GACGAACGCUGGCGGCGUGCCUAAUACAUGCAAGUUGAGCGCUGAAGGUUGGUACUUGUCCCAACUGGAUGAGCAGCGAACGGGUGAGUAACGCGUGGGGAAUCUGCCUUUGAGCGGGGGACAACAUUUGGAAACGAAUGCUAAUACCGCAUAAAAACUUUAAACACAAGUUUUAAGUUUGAAAGAUGCAAUUGCAUCACUCAAAGAUGAUCCCGCGUUGUAUUAGCUAGUUGGUGAGGUAAAGGCUCACCAAGGCGAUGAUACAUAGCCGACCUGAGAGGGGGAUCGGCCACAUUGGGACUGGGACACGGCCCAAACUCCUACGGGAGGCAGCAGUAGGGAAUCUUCGGCCAUGGACGAAAGUCUGACCGAGCAACGCCGCGUGAGUGAAGAAGGGUUUCGGAUCGUAAAACUCUGUUGGUAGAGAAGAACGUUGGUGAGAGUGGAAAGCUCAUCAAGUGACGGUAACUACCCAGAAAGGGACGGCUAACUACGUG
rnacentral:rRNA from 1 species